rfam:Tauraco erythrolophus contig49876, whole genome shotgun sequence.
AGCCAGGCUCUUCUCAGAGCCAUCCAAUGAUAGGACAAGGGGAAAU